GAUGAACGCUGGCGGCGUGCCUAAUACAUGCAAGUCGAGCGAACGGACGAGAAGCUUGCUUCUCUGAUGUUAGCGGCGGACGGGUGAGUAACACGUGGAUAACCUACCUAUAAGACUGGGAUAACUUCGGGAAACCGGAGCUAAUACCGGAUGAUAUUUUGAACCGCAUGGUUCAAAAGUGAAAGACGGUCUUGCUGUCACUUAUAGAUGGAUCCGCGCUGCAUUAGCUAGUUGGUAAGGUAACGGCUUACCAAGGCAACGAUGCAUAGCCGACCUGAGAGGGUGAUCGGCCACACGGGAACUGAGACACGGUCCAGACUCCUACGGGAGGCAGCAGUAGGGAAUCUUCCGCAAUGGGCGAAAGCCUGACGGAGCAACGCCGCGUGAGUGAUGAAGGUCUUCGGAUCGUAAAACUCUGUUAUUAGGGAAGAACAUAUGUGUAAGUACUGUGCACAUCUUGACGGUACCUAAUCAGAAAGCCACGGCUAACUACGUG
rnacentral:rRNA from 1 species